UACAGAGGUCCCGAGCGUUGUUCGGAUUCAUUGGGCGUAAAGGGUGCGUAGGCGGCGGGGCAAGUCUGAUGUGAAAUCCCGGGGCUCAACCCCGGAACUGCAUUGGAUACUGCCUUGCUUGAGUACUGGAGAGGAGACUGGAAUUUACGGUGUAGCAGUGAAAUGCGUAGAUAUGCGGAGGAACACCGAUGGCGAAGGCAAUCCCCUGGACCUGUACUGACGCUCAUGCACGAAAGCGUGGGGAGCAAACAGG
rnacentral:rRNA from 1 species